CAAACGGCCCUUUUCAGGGCCACCAUCCAAUUUGCAAAAGAUGUUUU
rfam:Anopheles stephensi strain SDA-500 unplaced genomic scaffold supercont1.26, whole genome shotgun sequence.